GCCCCUAGCCUUUCUCUCAUCCCUUCCCUUUUCCCCAUACAACAAACCCUAGCGCUGCCAGGCUUCGAGCCUUCUCUCUCAUUCUAGAAAUGGCAAAGUUGCAGAGCGUACAAGGCUUUGCAGCCUUCAUACACGCUUUUUGUGUGAUAAGCAUUAAUGAUCCAACCCAGUUUCGUCUUCUUCCUCCCAAACACGCCACUUGGGCCGAGGACACAGCCUCUCUAAAGGCCCAAUAGGACAAUUCUUUCAAAUUUCAGCUAAGUACGAGCAAGGGAAGCUAAUAUGCAUUUAUGAAGGCCCCAACCAUGGGUUAAAAUGGUUAAGGGGGCUUGGUGCACCCUGAGUUAUUUCAUUCUUGUUGUAUGAUAUGUUUACCUUCAUACUUGUAUUUGUAAACUCACAACAUUAUUGGAAACCAAAUGGUUGGAACUAGACGCUUUAGGCAAA